AGAACGAACGCUGGCGGCAUGCCUAAUACAUGCAAGUCGAACGAACUCUUCGGAGUUAGUGGCGCACGGGUGCGUAACGCGUGGGAAUCUGCCCCUUGGUUCGGAAUAACAGUUGGAAACGACUGCUAAUACCGGAUGAUGACGAAAGUCCAAAGAUUUAUCGCCAAGGGAUGAGCCCGCGUAGGAUUAGCUAGUUGGUGAGGUAAAGGCUCACAAGGCAACGAUCCUUAGCUGGUCUGAGAGGAUGAUCAGCCACACUGGGACUGAGACACGGCCCAGCUCCGUAGGGAGCAGCAGUAGGGAAUAUUGGACAAGUGGGACGAAAGCCUAGAGUCCAGACAA
rnacentral:rRNA from 1 species